GCCCUUCGGGGUACUCGAGUGGCGAACGGGUGAGUAACACGUGGGUGAUCUGCCCUGCACUUUGGGAUAAGCCUGGGAAACUGGGUCUAAUACCGAAUAGGACCGCAUGCUUCAUGGUGUGUGGUGGAAAGCUUUUGCGGUGUGGGAUGGGCCCGCGGCCUAUCAGCUUGUUGGUGAGGUAAUGGCUUACCAAGGCGACGACGGGUAGCCGGCCUGAGAGGGUGACCGGCCACACUGGGACUGAGAUACGGCCCAGACUCCUACGGGAGGCAGCAGUGGGGAAUAUUGCACAAUGGGCGCAAGCCUGAUGCAGCGACGCCGCGUGAGGGAUGACGGCCUUCGGGUUGUAAACCUCUUUCGCCAGGGACGAAGCGCAAGUGACGGUACCUGGAGAAGAAGGACCGGCCAACUACGUGCCAGC
rnacentral:rRNA from 1 species